CACGGAAAGGAUUGACAGAUUGAUAGCUCUUUCUCGAUUCUGUGGGUGGUGGUGCAUGGCCGUUCUUAGUUGGUGGAGCGAUUUGUCUGGUUAAUUCCGAUAACGAACAAGACUCCUCCAUGCUAACUAGUUACGCGACCCCCGGCUUAAUCUAGUUUAUUCUGUUUUUGUUUUUCCUUUGUCUCUUACAGUAUGGUUUAGUGACACUGAGCGUGUUUCUAGCUCUGGUCACCUUAUUUAGUGAUAGAUGGGCUGUUUAUCGGGUUUAGGCAUUUAGA